rnacentral:rRNA from 1 species
CGUGUAGGCGGCCAGGUAGGUCCGUUGUGAAAACUCGAGGCUCAACCUCGAGACGCCGAUGGAAACCAUCUGGCUAGAGUCCGGAAGAGGAGAGUGGAAUUCCUGGUGUAGCGGUGAAAUGCGCAGAUAUCAGGAAGAACACCCGUGGCUAAGGCGGCUCUCUAGUACGGUACUGACGCUGGGACGCGAAAGCGUGGGGAGCGAACA